GAAUUACUCCCUUCGUUCGGAAUUACUUGUCGCAGAAAUGGAUGUAUUUAGACGUAUUCUAGUUCUAGAUACACCCAUUUCCAAGACAAGUAAUUCCGAACGGAGGGAGUACUAG
rfam:Triticum aestivum genome assembly, contig: Triticum_aestivum_CS42_TGACv1_scaffold_031018_1BL